CCGCGCGCGUGCGCGCGUGUGUGUGUGUGUGUGUGUGUGUGUGUAGCUUGGUGCUACUACUCAGCA
rnacentral:miRNA from 1 species